ACGGGAGGCAGCAGUGGGGGAUAUUGCACAAUGGGGGAAACCCUGAUGCAGCGACGCCGCGUGGGUGAAGAAGUAUUUCGGUAUGUAAAGCUCUAUCAGCAGGAAAGAUAAUGACGGUACCUGACUAAGAAGCACCGGCUAAAUACGUGCCAGCAGCCGCGGUAAUACGUAUGGUGCAAGCGUUAUCCGGAUUUACUGGGUGUAAAGGGUGCGCAGGCGGGCUGCUAAGUCUCCGGUGAAAUGUCAGGGCUCAACCUUGGAAUUGCCGGAGAUACUGGCGGCCUUGAGAGUGGCGGAGGUAUCCGGAAUGUGUGGUGUAGCGGUGAAAUGCAUAGAUAUCACACAGAACACCGAUUGCGAAGGCAGGAUACCAUACCAUAUCUGACGCUCAGGCACGAAAGCGUGGGGAUCGAACAGGAUUAGAUACCCUGGUA
rnacentral:rRNA from 1 species